rnacentral:rRNA from 1 species
ACUAGCAUAUCAAUAAGCGGAGGAAAAGAAACCAACAGGGAUUGCCUUAGUAACGGCGAGUGAAGCGGCAAAAGCUCAAAUUUGAAAUCUGACACCUCUGGUGUCCGAGUUGUAAUUUGGAGAGGCAUCUUCUGGAGGGGCCCAGCCUAUGUGCCUUGGAACAGGACGUCAUAGAGGGUGAGAAUCCCGUACUUGGCUGGAUGUUCCCUCCUGUAUGUAGUGUCUUCUACGAGUCGAGUUGUUUGGGAAUGCAGCUCAAAAUGGGUGGUAAAUUUCAUCUAAAGCUAAAUAUUGGCGAGAGACCGAUAGCGCACAAGUAGAGUGAUCGAAAGAUGAAAAGCACUUUGAAAAUAGAGUCAAACAGUACGUGAAAUUGUUGAAGGGGAAGCGCUUAGGACCAGACCUGGCCUUUGGUGAACAAUCGCCCACCGGGGCGGUGUACUUUGUCAUUGGUCGGGCCAGCAUGGGUUGGGACGGUGGGAUAAAGGCUUGGGAAAUGUGACUCCUUUAUGGAGUGUUAUAGUCCCGGGUGGCAUGCCAUCAGUCCCAACUGUGGAACGCGCACCGGCACGGAUGCUGGGCAUAAUGGUCUUCAGCGACCCGUCUUGAAACACGGACCAAGGAGUCUAACGUCUAUGCGAGUGUUUGGGCUUCAAACCCUCACGCGGAAUGAAAGUGAACGGAGGUGGGACCCCCGAAAGGGGCGCACCAUCGACCGAUCCUGAUGUCUUCGGAUGGAUUUGAGUAGGAGCAUAGCUGUUGGGACCCGAAAGAUGGUGAACUAUGCCUGAAUAGGGUGAAGCCAGAGGAAACUCUGGUGGAGGCUCGCAGCGGUUCUGACGUGCAAAUCGAUCGUCAAAUUUGGGUAUAGGGGCGAAAGACUAAUCGAACCAUCUAGUAGCUGGUUCCUGCCGAGCUUCUCCCUCGCAGAGA